CGUGCUUAACACAUGCAAGUCGAACGAUGAUCUCCAGCUUGCUGGGGGGAUUAGUGGCGAACGGGUGAGUAACACGUGAGUAACCUGCCCUUGACUCUGGGAUAAGCCUGGGAAACUGGGUCUAAUACCGGAUAUGACUCCUCAUCGCAUGGUGGGGGGUGGAAAGCUUUUGUGGUUUUGGAUGGACUCGCGGCCUAUCAGCUUGUUGGUGGGGUAAUGGCCUACCAAGGCGACGACGGGUAGCCGGCCUGAGAGGGUGACCGGCCACACUGGGACUGAGACACGGCCCAGACUCCUACGGGAGGCAGCAGUGGGGAAUAUUGCACAAUGGGCGGAAGCCUGAUGCAGCGACGCCGCGUGAGGGAUGACGGCCUUCGGGUUGUAAACCUCUUUCAGUAGGGAAGAAGCCGCAAGGUGACGGUACCUGCAGAAGAAGCGCCGGCUAACUACGUGCCAGCAGCCGCGGUAAUACGUAGGGCGCAAGCGUUAUCCGGAAUUAUUGGGC
rnacentral:rRNA from 1 species